UGGGGAAUAUUGCACAAUGGGGGGAACCCUGAUGCAGCCAUGCCGCGUGAAUGAAGAAGGCCUUCGGGUUGUAAAGUUCUUUCGGUGACGAGGAAGGUUGGUAGGUUAAUAGCCUAUCAAAUUGACGUUAAUCACAGAAGAAGCACCGGCUAACUCCGUGCCAGCAGCCGCGGUAAUACGGGGGGUGCGAGCGUUAAUCGGAAUAACUGGGCGUGAAGGGCACGCAGGCGGUGACUUAAGUGAGAUGUGAAAGCCCCGAGCUUAACUUGGGAAUUGCAUUUCAUACUGGGUCGCUAGAGUACUUUAGGGAGGGGUAGAAUUCCACGUGUAGCGGUGAAAUGCGUAGAGAUGUGGAGGAAUACCGAAGGCGAAGGCAGCCCCUUGGGAAUGUACUGACGCUCAUGUGCGAAAGCGUGGGGAGCAAACAGGAUUAGAUACCCUGGUAGUCCACGCUGUAAACGAUGUCGAUUUGGGGAUUGGGCUUUGAGCUUGGUGCCCGUAGCUAACGUGAUAAAUCGACCGCCUGGGGAGUACGGCCGCAAGGUUA
rnacentral:rRNA from 1 species